UACGUAGGGGGCAAGCGUUGUCCGGAAUCAUUGGGCGUAAAGAGCGUGUAGGCGGCCCGAUAAGUCCGCUGUGAAAGUCCAGGGCUCAACCCUGGGAUGCCGGUGGAUACUGUCGGGCUCGAGUCCGGAAGAGGAGUGUGGAAUUCCUGGUGUAGCGGUGAAAUGCGCAGAUAUCAGGAGGAACACCAAUGGCGAAGGCAGCACUCUGGGACGUGACUGACGCUGAGACGCGAAAGCGUGGGGAGCCAACAGG
rnacentral:rRNA from 1 species